rnacentral:lncRNA from 1 species
GAGGGGCGGCAAGAUGGCUGCGUGGGCACCCGGAAGGUCGCCGCGCCAAGGGCCCGCUGAGCCCCUCCUCCCAUUCGUCCAGCCGCGCGGCCCACAGAAGCGGAACGCGCGUCGAGAGCGCCCUGUCCGCUCGCCCCAGACAGAUGCCCGGUUAUUCAUUACCGCGAGGCCUAGAGGAAAGAGUGGCUGCCGUCUUCCUGCCCACAGCCCGCCGGACCCUCCGUCGCGGCUGCCCGGUCCCCGGAGCCGCAGCCGCCGAGCCCGGCUGUGCGUGUCGUGGCUGCUGGGGAGAAAGAGGCUUCCGGACAUGCUCUGGAGUCAGAAGACAGCGAAAAGAGAAGCAGAAGCCCCGGUGGCAAGAGUCUGAAGGUGGGUUCCUUCCUGACAUGGGCAUUGGGCUGCGCAUGUGUGUUCGCAGUUCUUUCCAGCUGCUGUUCUGACCUCUUUGUGCAGUGUAUUUAUGUGGCUGUAGAUGGAUGGUCCAAGGUAGAUUUAGGUUUUGGAAUACUGUUUUUUUUUUCUACUUCAGGGAGAAAAUAACCCAGUUUGGGAAGGACAUUUAAAAGGGGAAAAUAUUAGGUAUGAUGGCACACCUGCAGUCCCAGCUAUUCGGGAGGCUAAGGCUGGAGGAUCACUUGAGCUCAGGGGUUUCAGGCUGCAGUGAGCUAUGAUCACGCCACUGUACUCCAGCCUGGGUGACAGAAUGAGACCCGUCUCUAAAAAAAAUGUAAUUUAAUUUAAAAAGGGAAAAUAUCCUUGGUGGUCCUUGGAACCAGCACUUACCAGGUUGACCCAUAUGAAAUUUCUUUCUUGUUGAUGAAAAAUAGUCAAAUAUUGGCAAUUUCUUAUGGUUCAACAUGUUACAGUUCCAUUCCUCUGGGAUGGUAGAGGGAUCCCCAGAAACACAUUUUAAAGAGUUUCUGAUACUUUAACCAUUUGUGUUCCUCUUCAUCCUACGAUACCCUUCACAGAAUUUUUUUUUUAACAGCAGGAAGGAUGACUGUAGCCUGUGGAUUGUACUGCAGUAGGAAACUGUCCUAGCAAGGCUCCACUUUGCCCCAGCUUCAAGGUAUAUCGUCUCAAAAUGCAGGGGACUUCAGAUGAGUUUUGAGCACCCUUUCUUUUAUUAUAAAAAAAAUUCCAGACAGUUCAGCCAAUACUGACUAAGGGCUGAGACCAGUUCCAUGCUUUUCUGUCUCCAGAGGAAUUUGCUUCCAUCUGGAUGCCUGAAACGGUAUUUUACUUCACCUCCUGUGUCACCGGCAGCAGUCCUGGGAGCCCUGGGGAGGAGGUUUUUGGGAGAGCCAGCUCACAGCCUCUCCAUCACCUUUUAGCCACCCCAGUGCUGGGCAGCCAGGGUGUGGGCUUUUGACUGAAUGCACUUGCCCUCCUGCAUUCAUUACACCAUUGUCAGUGUGUGUGUCUGGGGCUGCCUCUGGGUGUGCAUGGUUUUUUUUGUGUCUGCGUGUCAGUGUCAGGCUAUGUGUGUCUGUUUCUGUCGGCCUGUCUAGGCGCGCUCAGUGCAACAAGGAGCUGGGGGAGGUGGCGGUAAAGAGGAAGGGCAUUUCAAAGCCCAGCUGUCCUCCUCAGGGACCUCAGGAGAUGCGUGUGUGUGUGUGUGUGUGUGUGUGUGUGUGUGUGUGUGUAUUUUUUUCCAUGCUGCUCAUUGUGUGGGGCUGCAUGCGAGUGUCUGACCAGGUGUGGUGUGAGCAGCCGCUGGGCUGGGUGAGCCCCAUCUGCCGUGAGCUCCCAGACUUGCCUUCUAGCCCUCUGCCGCCAUCCAUGGGGAGCCUCUCCCUUCGCAGCUCACCGUCUCUUCUCUAAUUUAUUAGCUGGAAAGGAGGAGAACAUGAAACAUUGCUUGAAGACAAUGGCCGAGACAGCAGGUCCCACCCUGCACAGCCACCAGCAUCUCUCCCCUCAGCCCUGUCUCCUCUUCUGCAGUUGGGAUCUGCACAUUUAAGCCUGAAAUUGUCCUGUGAAGUGAAGUAUGAUCGGACAGCCUCUUUUCAGCUUUUAUGACAAUGGAGACAGAGGAAUUGUGGCUCUUGCCAAGGUCACAGGAUUGGAAUACAGAGCCAAGCCACCCCAGGACAUGCAAGAGCCUCAGAAGGGAAAAAAGCCCAGCAGGAAGGGAGAACAAGUAGCCUCUGUCCUGAAGUUGUAACAGCCAGGGGCCAGGAUGGAGGAGGAGGACCCCAUAAUCUGCCCAUCUGGGACUUGGCAGGGGACCUGGGAAAAUGUACCCCAACCCAUCCCUUAAGGGCCUUUGUCUUUGGCCCAUUGGCCUAGCAUCUACUUCUUCACCGUGUCUGUUCUUGUCACACCUAGUCAGGUCUGUUUGGGUCUGAGGUGCAUGGAACAUUCUGGGUAGGCCUCCAGCAAACGGAAGCUCUUCACCGUGUUUCCAGCCUGGGACCAAGGGCAGCAUACUGGCAAAGUUGCCAAAGCAAGGGACUCCAGCCUCUUAGGAGUUAAUGACUCCCUCUCCCCAGCUGUCCUCCCCUUGGUGCUCCUCUUCCUCCCUCCUCCUGCUCACAGCAGGCAGGGCCUAGACCCGGGAGCCAUGCUGCUGUGCUGUUGCCAGGGGAGCACGGAGGCAGAUCUGAGCUAUGCAGGGAAAAGGCCCAGCCUGUCAAAGUGUCUGAGAUGAACCGCCGCCGUCCCUGUGCAGCUGGGCUCAGACGUGUCUCAGCUCUUGUUCUGUGCCUGAGAAUGGCGAAACCCAGUGAGGUUCAAGGGCAAACUCGCUAUUCAUUAGUCAGGGGUUCUUGACGUCCCGUCUCUCCCAGGGAUGAGUUCCCCCCUCCUCUUUCUCCCCCUCCUAUGACACAUUCCUGGGUGCCUUUGGUGAGGACUGCACACCCUCCUCCUGCCUAGCCCCCUCUCCAAAGGCCCCUGAAUAAACUCCCCCCAAGGAGACCAGGCAGGGCAGAGACAAUGGCUGCAGGAAAUCAUUCAGGCGGGACAUGCUGGCCUGCCCUCCACCCAGUCCCCCUGUGGGCCCCACUCCCUUCUGAUUCAGGGCACCCUUGGGCCCCCAGCCUAUACAGGCCUGGACAGGAAGAAACCACUGGGAACCACCCUAAGGACAACAUGCUAGUCCAGUGCCAUUCUUCGCUGGCUCUGUGGGUGCCUUUGUGGCCUGUACCGACUGGCUGGCUAAUUUUGUGGUUUCUGUACCAUCACAUGCCUAUUUUAAGACACUCUCCAGCACUGUCGGUUAGGGAGUGUAAAUUUUGCAAUAUUUUCUGAAAUGUGGCAAUAUCAAAAUGUAAAAGGCACACAUACUUGGUCACAAACAAAUGGCACUAUUUACUCUGUGGGCAUAUUUGUAAAAGUUGCCAAAGAAUUAUAUACAAGGAUGUUCAUCAGAGCAUUUCUUUUGAAGAGUAAAGAAAUGGACAUGAACCUGUGGUCCGUUCAUACGGUGGAAUACCUAUGCAGCUGUAAAAAUCAGUGUGGUAGAUCUCCGUAUAUGAGUUGAUGUGGAAGGUUGGCCAGUUCACAUGAUAAGGUGAAUAGAAUAAGUUACAGAACAGGCUGUAGAGUAUGAUCUUAUUUGUAGAUGUUUAAAACUGAGUCAUAAGUAUGCUUAUAUACAGAUCGUUUCUGGAAGUAUGUACUGGAAGUCUACCUCUGGGGAGUGGGGAUGGGGGAGUGCACUCUUCUAUACUGUUAUAUUUUCUUUUCAUGCUCCUAAGGUACUUUUAUUGGAAGAUGUAAAGCGGUUCAAUGUAAUAGGCUUAACUUCUGUCAACUAAGUUGGCGUGGGUGCUUUAAGAGGGUGGUAGUGAUGUUGCUGGAGAAAGUAUCCCACAGUCACUGGUGGCUUCAGCCACGGGCCAUUUUGGGGCCUAAUAAUCACAUAUCAUCAUGGUUGCUAGUGUUAAUCGAAAACCUACUAAGUGCCAGGCUUACUGUCUCUGGGUCUUGCUUACGUGGAUGUCAUUUUUCCAGUUGCACCAAAUCGAAAGAGGUUAAUUGGUUUGUUGGAGUUCCUUUGUAGGUGAAGGGCAGAGCCAGGAGCUUGGCUAGGGACAGGGGAGGUGAGUGGGGGAUGGUGGAUAGGUCUUGGCUCCCAGUUUCCUUCUGGGCAGACAUUGCCCCUCUGCCCUGAGGACCUGCUUGUUUGGGGGAAGAGGCCUUUAGAGGCACCAGGGUCAUGCCAGGUGUUGGACAUGGUGAACUGGGAAGUGCUCCCAUCUGGCCACAGCGCAGAAGUAUCACCGUGCUGGGGGAUGGGGAACAGGGCUGUGAAUGGGCCUAUUUGCAUAAGCAGCAUGUGUCUGGAGAGAAAGACAUCACAGAGCAGAAGAGUGCGGGUGCCCAGGAGUGCACUUGCCACCCCUACUUCAUCCCUGAAAGAGUAAAUGGCCUGGAAGGUGUCUCUGAGAGGUAAUGCCGCACACCACCCUCCCUGGGGGCAGGGUCAGGCUACACCUGCCUUAGGUCGGGGGCUGCAGCAGCCUGAGAGCUCUCAGUAGGGCCUCAGUAGCCUGGGAGGGAGCAGGGGCAGGGGGCAGGGAAAGAGGCGUAAUGGGGCUGUCCAGAGGGGCCUGGGAAACCUGGUCCCUGAGGCCUGGGCACAGCUACAAUCACUUCAAAUUGGCUGUGGGGCCAGUGGACUGGGAAGGAAAAAAGCAAUAAGAGUGACCAAGUGCAGAAGGCUGUCAGGUCCCAGGUCACAUGCCUUAGUGCAGUGACUCCUCAUCAUUUUAUGGGGUGUGGGUGUCGUUGGUACACCCAUUUUACAGAUGAGGACACCGAGGCCCAGAAAAGUUAAGUUACAUGUCCUAAGUCACACAGCUUGUAAGUGCCAGAACUGAGAUCAAAACCAAGUCUCUUUGACUUUAAAGUCUGUACUCUGACCCCAAAGAGAUCCUGUUUGGCCACUUAUAGGAGGUCCCUAAAGCUGCAGACUCCCCUUGCCGGCACCCACAUAUAGAGACAUUAACCCUUCCCCUGCAGGGUCACCUCAAAUAGUCUUUUAGCUGGGCUUCUCCUGCAAUUCCACCUAAUGCCAUCCCCUGGGUUUUGCCCAAACCUGAACUGGGCAGUGGGGUGAGAGGAGGGGUUUACAGGGUUACAGAGCCUCAUACAGAUAGGAGCCCAUGGCUGCUGGUCAUCUGCAUUCCUGCAGGAUUGGCUGUUCCUUGGGGUCCUUGGCAGGAAAAUGAGGAUUGCUCCGAGGCCUGCUCCAGUACUUCCCAGAGGCUGGCCUGGUGUGGGGCUCUGGGAAGGCUGAGGCUGGAGAAGCGUAAGUAGGAGGGCAGAGAUGGCACUCAGGUAGCUUGAAUCACCAGGACCCUUCCAAGCCCCACAGGUUCUGAGGGAGUACUAGGGCCAGCUCUGGGAGAGGUCUCUUCCUAUGCUGUGAACCCCCUGCCUUUCUUGCAGCCUACAACGAAUAAAUUUUCUUUGCAA